rnacentral:rRNA from 1 species
CAAUAGCGUAUAUUAAAGUUGUUGCAGUUAAAAAGCUCGUAGUUGAAGUUCUGGCUGUAUGGGCCUUUGUACUAGAUACGAAAGCACCAGCAGUCAUCCGCUUGCAAAUACAUGUCCUUCCUUAACCGGUAGGCUGUAUGAGUAAGCAUUUUACCUUGAGAAAAACAGAGUGUCCCAGGCAGGUUUGUCCGGAAUGCAUUAGCAUGGAAUAAUAGAAUAUGACUGAAGUCGAUUUAUUGGUUUGAGGCUUUAGUAAUGAUUAAUAGGAACAAUCGGGGGCAUUAGUACUUGCCAGUCAGAGGUGAAAUUCUAAGAUUUGGCAAAGACUAACUGAUGCGAAAGCGUUUGCCAAGGAUGUUUUCAUUAA